rnacentral:rRNA from 1 species
AUGUUCCAUAAACAUGUUGCUCAAUCUGCUGCCUGCCCACGAUGCCAAGAUCCGUGUGAAGAUGCUCUACACCUCAUCUCUAACUGCUCCUAUGGUGCACAAGUUUGGUCUCGCCUCGGACUGCCGGCUCCGACCUCUCUCGCUGCACUUCACCAUCACCCACCAGUUCUGGGCCUCAACCCCAACAUCUGGCCAUCGGUGGCCUUGACCAUUUCCUGGAAGCUAUGGGACUCAAGAAAUGCCUUCGUAUUCAGAAACGAAGACCACCCACCCCGAGUAACGAUAAGAAAUAUUGUAGCAGAUUUCUCCCUCCGGGUUUUCCGUUUCAAAAAGACUGAAGAUAGUUCCUCCGCUAGGCUCUGGCUACACCUUUUAUCCUCUGCAAUCCCCUCUUAA